UACGUAGGGGGCAAGCGUUAUCCGGAAUUACUGGGUGUAAAGGGGGCGUAGACGGAAUUGCAAGUCUGAUGUGAAAAUCCGGGGCCCAACCCCGGAACUGCAUUGGAAACUGUAUUUCUAGAGUGUCGGAGAGGCAAGUGGAAUUCCUGGUGUAGCGGUGAAAUGCGUAGAUAUCAGGAGGAACACCGGUGGCGAAGGCGGUUUACUGGACCACAACUGACGCUGAGACACGAAAGCGUGGGGAGCAAACAGG
rnacentral:rRNA from 1 species